UAGAUCUGAUCCACAAGCAAGCCACCGAUCACCUCACGCUUGUGAACGCUUACGCUGCUUACGCUAGGAAGCUCAAGCUCGACGCGUCGAAGCAGCUGAAGCUCUUCGAAGAUCUGGCGGUUAACUUCUCCGAUCUGCAGGCCAAACCUGGACUGAAGCUCGAAAACGGGAACGCGAUCGAGGAGGAUGCGUUUCGGCAGAUCGAGAAAGAGGUUAAAGAUAAGGUGAAGACCGCGAGGAUGAUGAUCGUUGAGUCCAAAGAGAGUUACGAUACACAGCUCAAGAUCCAGAAGCUCAAGGAUACGAUCUUCGCUGUUCAAGAACAGUUGACGAAAGCUAAGAAAAACGGCGCCGUUGCGAGCUUGAUCUCGGCUAAGUCGGUUCCCAAGAGUCUUAACUGUUUGGCUAUGAGGCUUGUUGGUGAGAGGAUCUCUAACCCUGAGAAGUAUAAGGAUGCUCCGUUUGAUUCGGCUGUGUUGGAGGAUCCGAGUCUUUAUCACUACGCGGUUUUCUCUGAUAAUGUGAUUGCUGUUUCCGUUGUGGUGAGGUCGGUUGUGGUGAACGCUGAGGAGCCGUGGAAGCAUGUGUUUCAUGUGGUGACUGAUAGGAUGAAUCUCGCCGCUAUGAAGGUUUGGUUUAAGAUGCGUCCUUUGGACCGUGGUGCUCGUGUUGAGAUUAAGUCGGUUGAGGAGUUUAAGUUCUUGAACUCUUCGUAUGCGCCGGUCUUGAGGCAGUUAGAGUCUGCUAAGUUGCAGAAGUUUUACUUUGAGAACCAGGCGGAGAACUCGACUAGAGAUGAACAUAACAUCAAGUUCAAGAACCCCAAGUAUCUCUCGGUGUUGAACCAUCUGAGAUUCUACUUACCGGAGAUGUAUCCGAAGCUGAAUAAGAUCUUGUUCUUGGACGAUGAUGUUGUGGUGCAGAAGGACGUGACUGGGUUGUGGAAGAUUAAUUUAGAUGGGAAGGUGAAUGGAGCUGUUGAGACGUGCUUUGGCUCUUUUCAUCGAUAUGGUCAAUACCUAAACUUCACUCAUCCUCUGAUCAAAGAGAGCUUUAACCCCAAUGCUUGUGCUUGGGCCUUUGGGAUGAAUAUAUUUGAUCUCAAUGCUUGGAGGCGCGAGAAAUGCACAGAUCAAUACCAUUACUGGCAGAACUUGGUAAGCCCCAUAUCUUUCUUAGUAACUUAUGCAUUUCAAAAAAUCUCUUUUAUCUUGUGUUGAUUGUGUGCUAAUCUCUGAGCAGAAUGAAGACAGAAGUCUCUGGAAAUUAGGCACUCUGCCUCCGGGACUGAUGACAUUCUAUUCAAAGACGAAAUCACUGGACAAGUCCUGGCAUGUGCUUGGGUUAGGCUACAACCCGGGAGUGAGCAUGGACGAGAUAAAAAAAGCAGCAGUGAUACAUUACAAUGGGAACAUGAAACCAUGGCUAGACAUUGCUAUGAACCAAUACAAGUCUCUCUGGACUAAAUACGUCGACAACGAAAUGGAGUUUGUGCAGAUGUGCAAUUUUGGUCUUUAAAGAAAGAUAUCGAUGAAGAGGUAACCUCAAAUCGAUAUAUGUUCAGUCAUUCAGGGCAUUCUUUAGCUUAUAUACGUUUAUCUUUUAUAUAUUAUAUAGGGUUACAAAAGUGUUUUGCUUUGUUCUUUCUGUCAUAGUUUUGUUCUUUAUUUAUAUUUUGUGUAACUCUUUCACAUCAAAAGCUUUAUCCAAAACUACAAUGUGUUAAGGUUUGUUUCAUGCAAAGUUUUGACUUAUGAUUGAAACAUUAAAGAGAAAUGGAUUAGGAAGAUAAUGAAUUUUUAUCAUAUGUUGAUUUAGUUUCAUUUUAUUACUAAAAUCAUGAUGAGCUAACUACUUUACAAAACACAAUAAGAUUUUAUCAUAUGUUUGUAUAUCUACAAAAAUAGUUAGAAAUUCAACAAAGUUGUUAUGACCGUUUCUCACCGCAAGACAGAAACUCAAAGAUCCUGUCUCGAGUCAAUGUACGUCCAAACUGCACAAACCCAUCGCACCUUCCGGUCUCUCUGUCUAGGUCAACGAGCGUUGACUUCAAUUUCUCCAGUUCCUCCUCCAUCCCUCCCAUAGCAAAUGCCACAGACGACCGUUUAUUCACGGCGAUGUCCACCGUUAGUCUAAUGGAUCUCUCCACCGCCUCCAACAUACUCACAAGUCUGCUCAUCUUCUCAACCUCCUUGAGAGCCACCAUCGUUUCCCUCUCCAUCGACGUCACUGCUGUCUUUUCCCGUUUCAGAGUUUCCGACGACUCUCUCCACCUCGAAGCAGCAAAGUUAGUCACUGCUUCAACCGGUACAGGUACAAAGAUACCCGCCACGAUUUUUCCCACGGCCACUAGAGCGAUCAUCGCCGCCGCAACCUUGAUCCUUGGAUGCUGUCUUUAUGGAGUACAUUAUAUCAGAUCAAUCCAAAAUACUUUCCUAAAGGUCCAGAUGUGAUGAUUCCUCAAGAUGAAUUAACUGAUCAGCCCAAAUAUAGGAUCUUAUAUCAUAAGCAGGAGACACUGGAGCCUGAAUUGAUGGCAGAGUCAGGUACACCAAGUUUUUAUUCCUAUCAUGUUUUUAAGGAGGGGAUUCAUGGUGUGGAUACUUUGCUCCAUCAUGUUAGCUUAGGACUAUGUUAUGCUACUUAACAGUGAACUUUCUGUCUAGUUAAUAAUGGUAAUUGCUAGAAAAAUGUCAAUGUAGAGAAAUGACUUUUAAUGUUCUGGUUCAGUUGGCUCGUGAACUCUUGCAUAAUAUGCCUCUUAUUGUUUUAGCAGACAUCAUAGAAAGAGCCCGUGGAAUGUCACCCGGAAAAUUAUCCAAGGACAAAACUAAACCAGACUGCUUUCUCAAGAUGGUACUAUGCACAUCCAUUAUAUUUUUUUUUUGAUUUUAUGUUAUAUAUGCUAUGCAACCUUGCUGGUUAUGCUAUUUUUUUAUGCUGUGUUACCUUGAAUACGGAUUUGAUGGUCCUUCUUGGUCAAAAUAUGUUUUCUUAAAAUAUCUUAUUUCUGGUAAGCCUGGAUGAUAUGAGUUUUAUUCCCUUGGCUUGCAUUUAAAUAUUUCAAUCAUGCAGAUUAAAAAUGAAGUCUUGACGAAAGCUGGAAGUACAAAGGAUGUCCGCCACUUCGAGUUCCAAUUUGUUUCUUCUGUAAGUAACUUUGCUAUCACUUACUAACUAGUUUCAAUCAAUUUCUCCUCUUUUAUGAAGUGGUUGUUCAAUUAAUUUCUCCUCUUUGUUUUUUUUUUAAUUCAUUUAAGAGUAUCAAAUAUGAAGUGGGCGAUGUUGUUGAGCUUCUUCCAAGCCAAGAUUCUUCAGCAAUAGAUGCGUUUAUAAAACGCUGUCAUUUGGACCCGGAAUCAUUCAUCACAGUAAGUAGCUCCACUCUGUUGACAUGAUGAUCCCAGAUUGUCUAACUGAAGUAAAUUUUGAUAACUAAUUUACUUUCAGGUUUGUCCGAGAGAGACAGUGAAUAAUGGUUCAUGUGGAGAAGUAAUUACACACCAUGUCCCUAUCAAGCUUAAGACUUUUGUUGAAUUAACAAUGGACGUUACAUCUGCUUCACCUCGACGAUACUUCUUCGAGGUAAGAGUCCUAAUGAUCUUGAAUAUCAGAUUUUUAUAAUGUAAUUUUAAGUAUUUGAUGGAAGUCGUUACAAUGUAUCUUCUCGGUGUCAGGUUAUGAGCUUCUAUGCAACAGCUGAACUUGAGAAGGAAAGACUGCAAUACUUUGCCUCAGCCGAGGGACGUGAUGACCUCUACAAUUACAAUCAGAAGGAAAGAAAAAGCGUCCUUGAGGUAACCAAUUGGGGACACCAUGAUUCGUCUUGAACCAAAUAGAUCUUAUUGCUACUGCCUAUGUAGGUGCUAGAGGAUUUCUCUUCCGUGCAAAUGCCUUUUGAGUGGCUAGUACAGUUAGUACCAUCGCUAAAACCACGAGCUUUUUCGAUAUCUUCAUCUCCUUUGGCCCACCCUGGUCAAGUACAUUUGACAGUAAGCGUGGUAUCAUGGAUCACCCCUUCAUACCCUUAUAAGAGAACUCGAAAAGGUCUAUGCUCCUCUUGGCUCGCAAGCCUCACACCUGAGCAAGGUUAGCACUGUGUUUCUAUGUAUUAUUUUAACUGACUCAGGUCUUUGUUUCUACGUAUUUAUCUUACAUUUUGUGUUCCGUUGUGUUUAGAGAUAAACAUACCGAUUUGGUUUCACAAAGGCUCUCUUCCUGCUCCACCACAGUCGCUUCCACUCAUCUUAGUGGGACCUGGAACCGGAUGUGCCCCUUUCCGCGGGUUCAUAGCUGAGAGAGCCGUGCAAGCUCAGACCAGCCCGAUCGCACCAGUCAUGUUCUUCUUUGGUUGCAGGAACAAAGACACUGACUUUUUAUACAAAGACUUCUGGGAGUCUCAUGCAAGAGAAGGAGGCAUGCUCUCUGAAGUAAAAGGCGGAGGGUUUUACACAGCAUUCUCUAGAGACCAACCGAAGAAGGUUUACGUGCAACACAGGAUACUAGAGAUGAGGAAGAAAGUUUGGGAUUUGCUAUGUGAUGGAGCCGCCGUUUACGUGGCGGGCUCGUCCACGAAAAUGCCUUGUGAUGUGAUGUCGGCCUUGGAGGAGAUUGUGAUGGAGGAGACCGGAGGAUCAAAGGAAAUGGCUUCACGGUGGCUCAAGGCUUUGGAGAAAGCUGGGAGAUACAAUGUUGAAGCUUGGUCUUAAACCCAACUUCCUCCAUAUCAUGUAAUGUUUGAUUACUAGCUAUACGAAUCAUUGGAUUAUUUAUUUAUUUAAAUUGAUUUUAUAAUAUUCACAUUGAACGGUUCAAAUGAAGAUGAUUUGUUUGAUUGUAUACAUUUGAACUUUAUUUAUAAUUUAAUUUUAAUUUUUUUUAUAUAACGAGGUUCUUACCUUUUUCAUUUUAACUAGAGUUUGUUGAAUAAAUCAUUCACCUCACUGAAUAAUACAAGAUUUCAGUGUUUAUAUAAAAAUCAUCAAUUAAAUAACAUCAGAUUUUAAACAGAACUGAAAAUCAACGUACAAUGUCAAUUACUCAAUUUUUUUAUUUAUUAAUUUAUUGUAUAAUAACACUUUAGUUAUUUUUCAAAUGUUUUCGAUCGGCAAAUUUAAUAGAAUAUAUUUAUUCUUCAAUUAAUCAUUGAGUGGCAAAAUUAAAAAUGAAAUAAUCAAUUGUUAUAAAAUGGACAGAAACUAUUAUUUUUCUAAAUUUGUUUAUUUUUUUAAAAAAAAUUGUGCAGUCAAAGUGUUAGUUGAUAAUAAUUCUACACAAACAAUACUUUCAAGUAUUAAAGCUGCUGGUUUCAAAUACUUUGGUAAUAAAAUGUUAAUGUCCUAAAGUAUAUAGGUGAGACUGGGGUUUUAAUAAUAUUGAGAGUUUAUAUCUACACUAUAAAUUAGUAAUUGUUUAUUAAACCAAUGAUUAAUGACAUUAACGUGUCUUCUUCACUAAAAUGUCUUGAGAUCUCUAUCCAUCCCAUCACUCUCCAGAGGCUAAUUCACACUCUAUCGGGCAAGCAAGAACCUCAUCCCCAUCUGAACUUUUUUUUUUUUAAACUGACUUAUAAAAGGUAAAGCUAAAUGGCGGUGGCCUUCCAUGGAGGCCGGAACGGCGUCGGAUCGGGACUCCGCAGUUUCUUCUCGUACCGGAUCUUCAUCUCCGCCUUGUUCUCUUUCCUCUUCCUCGCCACCUUCUCCGUUGUCCUCAACUCCUCUCGUCACCAACCUCAUCUCGAUCACGUAAGCUUCCGAUUCGUUUCACAAUCCGAAUCAAAAUUUAGAAAUGAAUUUAGAAUCUGAGCUUCGAUUUUUGGUGUUUAGACAUUGCCGAGGACGUUUCAAUCGGAUCCGUUGAAAGCUAGGUUAGAUCUGAUCCACAAGCAAGCCACCGAUCACCUCACGCUUGUGAACGCUUACGCUGCUUACGCUAGGAAGCUCAAGCUCGACGCGUCGAAGCAGCUGAAGCUCUUCGAAGAUCUGGCGGUUAACUUCUCCGAUCUGCAGGCCAAACCUGGACUGAAGCUCGAAAACGGGAACGCGAUCGAGGAGGAUGCGUUUCGGCAGAUCGAGAAAGAGGUUAAAGAUAAGGUGAAGACCGCGAGGAUGAUGAUCGUUGAGUCCAAAGAGAGUUACGAUACACAGCUCAAGAUCCAGA
rnacentral:lncRNA from 1 species